AGUGAACGCUGGCGGUAGGCCUAACACAUGCAAGUCGAACGGCAGCACAGUAAGAGCUUGCUCUUACGGGUGGCGAGUGGCGGACGGGUGAGGAAUACAUCGGAAUCUACUUUUUCGUGGGGGAUAACGUAGGGAAACUUACGCUAAUACCGCAUACGACCUACGGGUGAAAGCAGGGGAUCUUCGGACCUUGCGCGAUUGAAUGAGCCGAUGUCGGAUUAGCUAGUUGGCGGGGUAAGGCCCACCAAGGCGACGAUCCGUAGCUGGUCUGAGAGGAUGAUCAGCCACACUGGAACUGAGACACGGUCCAGACUCCUACGGGAGGCAGCAGUGGGGAAUAUUGGACAAUGGGCGCAAGCCUGAUCCAGCCAUACCGCGUGGGUGAAGAAGGCCUUCGGGUUGUAAAGCCCUUUUGUUGGGAAAGAAAAGCAGCAGGUUAAUACCCCGCUGUUCUGACGGUACCCAAAGAAUAAGCACCGGCUAACUUCGU
rnacentral:rRNA from 1 species